UAAAUAUGGUAAAGGGAGGGGUCCAGGAGAAAACUUCCAAAAAAAAAAGGACCAUUUGGGCUUUCAUUUUAAAAAGGGGAGGAUAGAGAGAGGCUUCUUCUUAAAAGAAAGAGGGCACAAAAGAGAGAUAAAAAAUAUAGCUUAGAAUCCAUUUUUAUUUUGUUUUCCAUUCUUCUAUUUCUUGAAAAAUCACAUAUACCACACAAGAAAUAGAGUGAUCGAGAGAGAGAGAGUCACGGAGAGGGAGAGAGAACGCAGGUUUCAUGGGUGGUUUACUAUUUCGGUGUUAGACUCACCGAAGACACGUCGAAGUCGUCGCUAACAUGUUCGAAUUCCUCAGAACCCGUUCCAAACUUCUCACUCUCACAUUUUUUUAGCUCAGUUUUCUUUUUCUUUUCUUUUGAGGUUCUAUUGCGUAUUUGGAUGUUGGGGUUCUUCUAUUUUGUGCUCUCAUCGUUGAAAUCAGGUCAGGGUCCGACUUAUUUUGGGUUGUUUUGGUUGCUGUCCUCUCACCAGAGCGCCGUUUCAAUCGAGUUCAACUCUCAAUAGGAUUUUAAGGGUGCUUCGAUUUUGUUUGUUGUGGGAUUCAUUAUCAACAUCAUGUUUGGGAGUUUCUGAGAUCAAGUCGAGUCAAUAUGUGGUUUGGGUUUCAUAUUGCUUGUCUUUUUACUGGUUUGAAAUCUGUUCGAAAGGCUGUUUUGGGUCACUGAUCGAGUUUUCAUGACGUUGGGGUUCUCCGUUGGAGGAUUUUGGUUGUUGGAUUUCUUUAUUAUCAAUGAUGAAUACAAGUUUUAUUGAGAAGAAAAGGUUGGGGAGUGAGGAAGAAGUUAAAAAGAUGAAGCAAGCUUCAAAUUUUGGUUUUUAAAAAGCAGUAGGCUUUUAAAGUUUUACUCCUGGUGAAGAAAGCUUCAAAAGUAUAUUGGUUCCUAGAGUACUACUACUUUUAUACAAGAUAGAGUACGGACAAAAUUUUGUACCAGAGAUAAAUAAAUGCAUGCCAAUCUGAGAAGGUGGUCUAAUUUUCCAGCUUGGCAUGGUAACUGAGGGCUGGGUAUAGAUUUUCUUUUAUACUUCGCCCACCAAUAGCAAAAUGGAGUAAAUAGAGACAAGCCCAUUUCAUUUGACUA